ensembl:lncRNA
CUUUAGUCCAGGCAUGGGUCUAUAAAUGGUCCUAAUUCACCAGUGCCUACAGAGGUGGAUUGUCAUCAGGCACACAAAAUGGCCUGGGCAGCAAGACCACGAGAAGAUGGUCAUUUUAUAAAGCAAAGGCAUGGAGAAGUGAGGCCUCUGGACUUCAGGCAAAUGGGAGAUACCACGAGCUCUGCUGCCAGAAUUAACGCCAUCCCACGUAAGGGAAGUCUUGCAUGGAGUGUGCUCAGGAUUUGGGCAGGGUAAGCUUAGCUGUCCUAAAGCAGAGUAAAGGAAUGGGUGCCCAUAUUUCCAAAUAUUUUCAGGCUUUAUUUUUUUUUUUCCAGCAUACUAUCUUAGGAAAGGACAGAAAUAGUGUUCCUAUAAAGUCGGUCUACAGUGCUUGCUCAGAUACUCCUUUUUUUCCU